AUUUUCGGGCUGUGAAAAGUGCAAUACUCAAUGUUAAAAAAAACAGUACUGCCCCCAUCCGCAGCAGAAAAU
rnacentral:pre_miRNA from 1 species